CCAAAGGCUCUUUUCAGAGCCACGUCUGUGCUCAUAAAGAAGCAUG
rfam:Camelus ferus unplaced genomic scaffold scaffold86, whole genome shotgun sequence.